rnacentral:sRNA from 1 species
UAUUCUGCCCCACGGGGAAGGAUGAGAAGCUUCGACUAAGGUUCGACUCGAGCGAAGCGAGAGAACGUUGCCGCAGGCAAUGGCCCGAAGGGCGAGGCGCUUUAGCGCCGAGUAAUCCUUCCCCCACCACUG